rfam:Limnothrix rosea IAM M-220 NIES-208_Scaffold_65, whole genome shotgun sequence.
UUAAGCCUACUGUGUUGGUGACUGCCAAUAUUGUUUGUUGAUCUAUGCUUGAGCUAAUUGGGAACACCAGUCAUAUGCUGACUGAAGUAGACCGAGCUUGUACUCGGAAAUGGAUGUAUUAGCUAUGAUGUUCCCCCCUGGAUUUUCCAGGUCAGAAGCUGAGGUAAGACGGCACGGCGGGUGAUAA